UAGGGAAUCUUCCACAAUGGACGCAAGUCUGAUGGAGCAACGCCGCGUGAGUGAAGAAGGUUUUCGGAUCGUAAAGCUCUGUUGUUGGUGAAGAAGGAUAGAGGCAGUAACUGGUCUUUAUUUGACGGUAAUCAACCAGAAAGUCACGGCUAACUACGUGCCAGCAGCCGCGGUAAUACGUAGGUGGCAAGCGUUGUCCGGAUUUAUUGGGCGUAAAGCGAGCGCAGGCGGAAUGAUAAGUCUGAUGUGAAAGCCCACGGCUCAACCGUGGAACUGCAUCGGAAACUGUUAUUCUUGAGUGCAGAAGAGGAGAGUGGAAUUCCAUGUGUAGCGGUGGAAUGCGUAGAUAUAUGGAAGAACACCAGUGGCGAAGGCGGCUCUCUGGUCUGCAACUGACGCUGAGGCUCGAAAGCAUGGGUAGCGAACAGG
rnacentral:rRNA from 1 species